CCCAGACUCCUACGGGAGGCAGCAGUGGGGGAUAUUGCACAAUGGGGGGAACCCUGAUGCAGCGACGCCGCGUGGGUGAAGAAGUAUUUCGGUAUGUAAAGCCCUAUCGGCAGGGAAGAAAUUGGACGGUACCUGACUAAGAAGCCCCGGCUAACUACGUGCCAGCAGCCGCGGUAAUACGUAGGGGGCAAGCGUUAUCCGGAUUCACUGGGUGUAAAGGGAGCGUAGACGGCCAUGCAAGCCUGGAGUGAAAGCCCGGGGCCCAACCCCGGGACUGCUCUGGGAACUGUGCGGCUGGAGUGCGGGAGGGGCAGGCGGAAUUCCUGGUGUAGCGGUGAAAUGCGUAGAUAUCAGGAGGAACACCGGCGGCGAAGGCGGCCUGCUGGACCGCGACUGACGUUGAGGCUCGAAAGCGUGGGGAGCAAACAGGAUUAGAUACCCUAGUAAU
rnacentral:rRNA from 1 species